rnacentral:rRNA from 1 species
UGGCGCACGGGUGCGUAACGCGUAUACAAUCUGCCCAUAACAGGAGGAUAGCCCAGAGAAAUCUGGAUUAAUACUGCAUAAUACAUUAAAGUCGCAUGGCUUAAAUGUUAAAGAUUUAUUGGUUAUGGAUGAGUAUGCGUCCCAUUAGUUAGUAGGUAAGGUAACGGCUUACCUAGACGAUGAUGGGUAGGGGUUCUGAGAGGAAGGUCCCCCACACUGGUACUGAGAUACGGACCAGACUCCUACGGGAGGCAGCAGUAGGGAAUAUUGGGCAAUGGACGAGAGUCUGACCCAGCCAUGCCGCGUGCAGGAAGACAGCCCUAGGGUUGUAAACUGCUUUUAUAUGUGAAGAACAAGUGCUUUGCGAAGCGCCUUGACUGUAGCAUACGAAUAAGCACCGGCUAACUCCGUGCCAGCAGCCGCGGUAAU